rnacentral:rRNA from 1 species
GACGCGCCGUGCAAACGUUAUUCGGAAUCAUUGGGCUUAAAGAGCGCGUAGGCGGCGUCGUAAGUUGGAAGCGAAAUCCCAUCGGCUCAACCGUGGAACAGCUUCCAAUACUGCGACGCUCGAGGAAGGUAGGGGCCUGUGGAACUGCCGGUGGAGCGGUGAAAUGUGUUGAUAUCGGCGGGAACGCCAGUGGCGAAAGCGACAGGCUGGCCCUUUUCUGACGCUGAGGCGCGACAGCUAGGGGAGCUAACGGG